rnacentral:rRNA from 1 species
GACGAACGCUGGCGGCGUGCCUAACACAUGCAAGUCGAACGGAGUUAUUUCUAACACAGGGCGGCCCUGAGAGGGGACGUCGUGUGUUAGGAAUAACUUAGUGGCGGACGGGUGAGUAACGCGUGAGCAAUCUGCCUUACAGAGGGGGAUAACAGCUGGAAACGGCUGCUAAUACCGCAUGAUAUGCACCGGGGACAUCCUCGGAGCAUCAAAGAUUUUUCGCUGUAAGAUGAGCUCGCGUCCAAUUAGAUAGUUGGCGGGGUAAAGGCCCACCAAGUCGACGAUUGGUAGCCGGACUGAGAGGUUGAACGGCCACAUUGGGACUGAGAUACGGCCCAGACUCCUACGGGAGGCAGCAGUGGGGGAUAUUGCACAAUGGGGGAAACCCUGAUGCAGCAACGCCGCGUGAAGGAAGAAGGUCUUCGGAUUGUAAACUUUUGUCUUGCGGGACGAAUAAUGACGGUACCGCAGGAGGAAGCCACGGCUAACUACGUG